rnacentral:lncRNA from 1 species
GUGUUUUGCCGUAACAGCAAACAAACCCGUAAAACAAAACAUAAAUAUAAACUUAAACAACUUCCCUUAAACAAGGCCCAAAUAGAAACAAUUUUUUGCAUAUCUGGAAUUUUGGACAUCCAAGACCCUUUUUCUUCCCUUUAUGCUUUCUCUCAAGAAAAACAACAACAGCCUUUCUCAGACCAUUUACAAAGAAAGUGACUUCGUCCCCUUUGGUUAACCUGUUGUCCCUGCAGAACUCGUACCAACCUGUCCCCAACAUUGCUUUUCUGUGAUUUUUGGAGUCGAAAACCAGCGACCAUUGUCUAAUUGUAAUUUCAACGGGUGAAAAUCCGGAAAGAUUUUGCACAUCAGCAUAGACAUCGAUCUGUUCAGGCUUGUUUUGAAAAUGUGCCUCCACUAUGGAUGCCGGGAUAUUCUAUAGAUAAUAUAAAUAUUAGAAGACCAAAGCAUGCAAACAGGGGGAUUGACAAAUUUAAAUAGUUUGGUUUCAAAGCAUUAACACGCACCAGGACCUGAUUGCCAGAUGCUUGCAGGUUGUCAGAGUAACACUCCAGCAGUUGUCAUCCUUUAUGUCCCACUCCUCGUACUCGGAAUCAUCUGGAGUAUAUUGGUUGGGGCUCUUCCG